GGCGAAGCCGGGGGGGGAGUGUGCAGAUGUAGGGAGGAUGCUGGGGUUUUCCGGUUUGAUUGGUUUUAAGUGGUGCGUAGGUGAAUUGAUAGGUGAGGGGUGAAAUAUCUCGGCUCAACCGAGAAAUGGCAUUUGAUACUGGUAGUCUAGAGUAUAGUUGAAGUUGGCGGAAUGUGUCAUGUAGCGGUGAAAUGCUUAGAUAUGACACAGAACACCGAUCGCGAAGGCAGCUAGCUAAGCUAUAACUGACGCUCAUGCACGAAAGCGUGGGGAUCAAACAGGAUUAGAUACCCUUGUAUC
rnacentral:rRNA from 1 species